GACGAACGCUGGCGGCGUGCUUAACACAUGCAAGUCGAACGGAAAGGCCCUGCUUUUGCGGGGUGCUCGAGUGGCGAACGGGUGAGUAACACGUGAGUAACCUGCCCUUGACUUUGGGAUAACUUCAGGAAACUGGGGCUAAUACCCGAUAGGAGCUCCUGAUGCACGGUGGGGGUUGGAAAGUUUCGGCGGUUGGGGCUGGACUCGCGGCUUAUCAGCUUGUUGGUGGGGUAGGGGCUUACCAAGGCUUUGACGGGUAGCCGGCCUGAGAGGGUUGCCGGCCACAUUAGGACUGAGAUAGGGACCAGACUCCAACGGGAGGCAGCAGUGGGGAAUAUUGCGCAAUGGGCGGAAGCCUGAUGCGGCAACGCCGCGAGCGGGAUAACGGCCUUCGGGUUGUAAACCGCUUUCGCCUGUGACGAAGCGAGAGUGACGGUAAUGGAUAAAGAAGCACCGGCUAACUACGUG
rnacentral:rRNA from 1 species